rnacentral:lncRNA from 1 species
AUGGCCAAGAUGGACGAGCUCACGGGCCAUCUGAAAGAUGAGCAACUGAGGAGUCUUGGCCUGGAGAGACAACAAAAAGGCCAACUCAUUCUCAUAGAGGAGGAAACACAGUUGCAGGAGCGAAUCCAUGACCUGGAGAAGGAGAGAGAGCUGCUAAAAGAGAACUGUGAUAAACUAAUUAACAGAAAUUUGGGACGUUGCUGAAACUAUAGUUAGUCCAGCUAGAGGUGGCACUGAAGUCUGACCUGACAGAGUAAAACAAGAUUCUGGACAAGAUCAAAGUUGAAAGAGGUAUCUGUCGACCAGGACCUUUGUGUCUUUAAAAUUGUUUUGUGUGAAUUCAGAUUUACAAUUUUCUUUCUUUUCUUUUCAUGUAUUAUUAAUCUGCCGCCCACUUUAACCAACAUGUUUAUAAAUUGUACCCGCAAAACACC